rnacentral:rRNA from 1 species
AAGACCUUGCGCUUUUGGAGCGGCCGAUGCCUGAUUAGCUUGUUGGUAAGGUAAAAGCUUACCAAGGCUUCGAUCAGUAGCUGGUCUGAGAGGACGGCCAGCCACACUGGGACUGAGACACGGCCCAGACUCCUACGGGAGGCAGCAGUGGGGAAUUUUGGACAAUGGGGGCAACCCUGAUCCAGCCAUGCCGCGUGAGUGAAGAAGACCUUCGGGUUGUAAAGCUCUUUCAGCCGGAACGAAACGGUUACGGUUAAUACCCGUGAUUACUGACGGUACCGGAAGAAGAAGCACCGGCUAACUACGUGCCAGCAGCCGCGGUAAUACGUAGGGUGCGAGCGUUAAUCGGAAUUACUGGGCGUAGAGCGUGCGCAGGUGGUUUUGUAAGUCAGAUGUGAAAGCCCCGGGCUCAACCUGGGAACU